GAGCCGUGGUCAUUGUCAGAUACCUAAGACUGCUCCUCUUUUUCCGUGUAUGUGGUGUGUGCGCGUGCGCGCGCGCGCGCGCGGGUCUCUUAAUCUACAGGAUAAAAGCCUUAGUUUAUUCUUUUUCGUCUAAUGGACUAAUUCAGACUUCAAGAGAGCCCACAAAUCCUCCUUGUUGAGAUGAGAGCCCUUCAACCAUCAUGCCGUCAAGCUCAGCCUAGCCAGCUGGAGGAUGAGACCAUGUGGAGAGAGGACCCAUGUCCUCAGCCACCUUAGUGGAGGCCCCAGGUAUGUGAGUGAGUGGAGAACAUUUGGACCAGAAGGCUUGGCUACCCAGGAGAACCCAGUCCAAAUUGAAAACCCAUAGAAUUUCUAGCUAAAUAAAGUGGUUGUUUCAAGCCA